AUCAACUGCAACUAUAUCCUGAAAAUCUGCUCCAUAUUUUAGCAUAUCCUUAAAAGGAAAAUUGCAUGGGUUACCAGGAUUUGUUUUUUUAAAGUAUAGUUUGAGUGUAGAUAAUUUCAUGGCGUUAACAUAGGUCUUAAUAUCAAUCAUCCGUAGACCCCCAUUUUGUAAUCUAUUUUUAAAGUGCUCCGUUUGAUUUUGUCAUUUUUGUCAUUCCAGAUGAAUUUAAAAAAUACUCUCUCAAUCGCGGUGAUAAAAUCAUCUGGAGGGUUAGGUAAAGUGUUAAACAAUGAAAUUCGCUAACCAUGG